rnacentral:lncRNA from 1 species
CUCACUUGAACCUAGAGCCCACGGAUUUGGCAAGUCUGGAUAGCCAGCUUGUCCCUGGGAUCCUCUGCUCCUCCCGCCUGAGAUCUAGCACGGCAAGUGGACUGCCACAUCUGCCUGUGGACCUCCACCACAUCUGCCUGUGGACCACCACCACAUCUGCCUGUGGACCACCACAUCUGCCUGUGGACUACUACAUCUUCCUAUGGACCUCCACCACAUCUGCCUGUGGACCACCACAUCUGCCUGUGGACCACCACCACAUCUGCCUGUGGACCACUACAUCUGCCUAUGGACCUCCACCACAUCUGCCUGUGGACCACUACAUCUGUCUGGAUUUUAUU